GACGAACGCUGGCGGCGUGCUUAACACAUGCAAGUCGAACGCUGAAGCUCAGCUUUUGUUGGGUGGAUGAGUGGCGAACGGGUGAGUAACACGUGAGUAACCUGCCCCCUUCUUUGGGAUAACGCCCGGAAACGGGUGCUAAUACUGGAUAUUCACUGGUCUUCGCAUGGGGGUUGGUGGAAAGGGUUUUUCUGGCGGGGGAUGGGCUCGCGGCCUAUCAGCUUGUUGGUGGGGUGAUGGCCUACCAAGGCUUUGACGGGUAGCCGGCCUGAGAGGGUGACCGGUCACAUUGGGACUGAGAUACGGCCCAGACUGCUACGGGAGGCAGCAGUGGGGAAUAUUGCACAAUGGGCGCAAGCCUGAUGCAGCGACGCCGCGUGAGGGAUGGAGGCCGUCGGGUUGUGAACCUCUUUCGCUCAUGGUCAAGCCGCAACAAUGGUUGUGGUGAGGGUAGUGGGUAAAGAAGCGCCGGCUAACUACGUG
rnacentral:rRNA from 1 species